CUUGAGGAAGCGUUUUGCCUACGUGGACAAAAAUCGCUCCCUUAAGGACGCGCUUUAUGUCCAAGUAGGCAAAACGCUUCCUCAAGG
rfam:Gossypium raimondii Chr04_contig_1028, whole genome shotgun sequence.